CCCCUAGUAACUGCGAGUGAAGCGGGAAAAGCUCAAAUUUAAAAUCUGGUGGUCUUUGGCCAUCCGAGUUGUAGUCUGGAGAAGUGCUUUCCGCGCUGGACCGUAUACAAGUCUCUUGGAACAGAGCGUCAUAGAGGGUGAGAAUCCCGUCUUUGAUACGGACUACCAGUGCUUUGUGAUGCGCUCUCAAAGAGUCGAGUUGUUUGGGAAUGCAGCUCAAAAUGGGUGGUAAAUUCCAUCUAAAGCUAAAUAUUGGCGAGAGACCGAUAGCGAACAAGUACCGUGAGGGAAAGAUGAAAAGCACUUUGGAAAGAGAGUUAAACAGUACGUGAAAUUGCUGAAAGGGAAACGCUUGAAGUCAGUCGCGUUGGCCAGGACUCAGCCUUGCUUUUUUGCUUGGUGCACUUUCUGGUUGAUGGGCCAGCAUCGAUUUUGACCGCUGGAAAAAGGCUAGGGGAAUGUGGCACCUUCGGGUGUGUUAUAGCCCUUAGUCACAUACGGUGGUUGGGAUCGAGGACCGCAGCACGCCUUCAAUGGCCGGGGUUCGCCCACGUUCGUGCUUAGGAUGCUGGCGUAAUGGCUUUAAACGACCCGUCUUGAAACACGGACCAAGGAGUCUAACAUGCCUGCGAGUGUUUGGGUGGUAAACCCGAGCGCGUAAUGAAAGUGAAAGUUGAGAUCCCUGUCGUGGGGAGCAUCGACGCCCGGACCUGAUCUUCGGUGAUGGCUCUGCGGUAGAGCAUGUAUGUUGGGACCCGAAAGAUGGUGAACUAUGCCUGAAUAGGGUGAAGCCAGAGGAAACUCUGGUGGAGGCUCGUAGCGAUUCUGACGUGCAAAUCGAUCGUCAAAUUUGGGUAUAGGGGCGAAAGA
rnacentral:rRNA from 1 species